rnacentral:lncRNA from 13 species
UAAAUUUCUGAAGUACUGAGAUCAAAUAUUAGCAGAUUCACUCCGAAAGUCAUGUUUUCUCUCUAGAUUUCAACCAGUCAGCUAUUGAAGAGAUGGCAGGCAAUGAAUCUGGCUCCUUCUAUGGGAAGAAAACAGAAACACGUGCUGCUUGUCCGACUGAGGCAGGGGAAACAAGUACCUUCAUGGGUUGGGGGCAUUGGCUGAGCUCCCAUCCCACCACCAGCACCAACUUUCCAGGUGUGAGAAUACGGCAUCUUGGAACUGAUGCUCCAGUUCCCAGUUGAACCACCCCAGAUUCCAGUAAGAACAUCAGGGAAACAAAGAGCACUCUUUGCAAGAUGGACUCUUCUAGAGAAGAUGAUUGGCCAAUGGGCUGUGACGACAAAAGUCAGAAAUUGUAGUCCUUUGGGAUAUCUCAUCUUGUUAGGAUCAUCAUGGUCUCCUCAGGCUGAAAUUCAUGAGUCUCCAAAUCCCUCAGCACCUAAUUCUUCAUGA